rnacentral:rRNA from 1 species
UACGGGAAGGGCAAGCGUUAUCCGGCAUGACUGGGCGUAAAGAGUCCGCAGACUGUAAAGUAAGUUUUUUGUUAAAUUUAAAACCUAAUUUUAAAAAAGCAUUAAAUACUGCUUUACUUUGAGUUUAGUGCAGAAAAGUGGAAUUUUAUAUGGAGGGGUGAAAUCCGUAGAUAUAUAAAGGAAUGUCAUCAGCGAAGGCGACUUU